AUGCAAAAUGAGGAACCACCAAAGGAUGCCAGGGAAAGGGGGAGAAAAAGGGAUUCCCUCACCUUUUCCGGCACAUUCCUUGUCAAUUUCCACCAGAAGGAGGCGCGCGGUCUAGAUCCCCCUCUCGUCUCCUUUCUUACAUCCCCCUACCGAGCGCAGCCCAGGCUCGCCGCGCAGCCGGAGCAGCUUCUCCGGCAGCCCUGGCCCUCCGCACCCCCCCUCCCCGCCCCCCGGGUUGGUUUUUCCCAGCUGCGGAGGUUGGGCCAGGGGCUGGGGUGCGAGGAGUCGGCGCCCGCAGCGCGGAACGGGCAAGUCGCUGCGACUCUGGUGAGACUGGGAGUUAUCUCGAGUGCGGAGGGUCCUGAAAGACAUCAAAAGACUCCUGUAACCUGAAACUUCCAUUGCGUCCGAACCUGGACUUGGAGGAGAGGUCCGGGCGGGGGCGGAGACCCCGGAAGGUCGCGCAGCGGAUCCUGCGGGAGGCGCCAACAAAAGAGGCGGGAGGUGCCACCCGGAGGCGGCGGCCGCAAGACGAGCGGGAGGAGGAGCGCUGAGCCGAGCGUCCCAACCGGCCGUGCGUACUUUCUGGAGGGACGGGGCGGGGGACUUGGCCCCGGGAGGGGGACGCCCGGUGGCCAGGGGGUUGGCCAAGUUCCGGCGGCGGCGUUGGCGGCGGCCCUCCUCCGCUCCCACGAGGGGAAAGUUUUCUCCAGAAGCUUCCGGCCGGCCCGCGCCCUCCGGAGCCCCGUCUCCCGAACCUUCGGAGCGGGCGGCGUCCCAGCCCGGCU
rnacentral:lncRNA from 1 species